AUUGAACGCUGGCGGCAAGCCUAACACAUGCAAGUCGAACGAGUGGCGGACGGGUGAGUAAUGUCUGGGAAACUGCCUGAUGGAGGGGGAUAACUACUGGAACCGGUAGCUAAUACCGCAUACCAUCGGAUGUGCCCAGAUGGGAUUGGCUAGUAGGUGGGGUAAAGGCUCACCUAGGCGCAGAUCCCUAGCUGGUCUGCGAGGAGGACCAGACACACUGGAACUGGGACACGGGCAAGACUCCUACGGGAGGCAGCAGUGGGGAAUAUUGCACAAGGGGCGCAAGCCUGAUGCAGCCAUGCCGCGUGUAUGAAGAAGGCCUUCGGGUUGUAAAGUACUUUCAGCGGGGAGGCGUUACCCGCAGAAGAAGCACCGGCUAACUCCGUGCCAGCAGCCGCGGUAAUUC
rnacentral:rRNA from 1 species